rnacentral:rRNA from 1 species
CCUACGGGAGGCUGCAGUAGGGAAUCUUUCACAAUGGGCGAAAGCCUGAUGGAGCAACGCCGCGUGCAGGAUGAAGGCCUUCGGGUUGUAAACUGCUUUUAUAAGCGAGAAAUAUGAUGGUAACUUAUGAAUAAGGAUCGGCUAACGACGUGCCAGCAGCCGCGGUCAUACGUAGGAUCCGAGCAUUAUCCGGAGUGACUGGGUGUAAAGAGUUGCGUAGGUGGCAUAAUAAGUAGCUAGUGAAAUCUGGUGGCUCAACCAUUCAGACUAUUAGCUAAACUGUUAAGCUCGAGACCGUUAGGUGUAACUGGAAUUUCUAGUGUAGGAGUGAAAUCCGUAGAUAUUAGAAGGAACACCAAUAGCGUAGGCAGGUUGCUGGGACGGUUCUGACACUAAGGCACGAAAGCGUAGGGAGCAAACGGGAUUAGAUACCCGAGUAGUC